UACGGGGGGGGCAAGCGUUGUUCGGAAUUACUGGGCGUAAAGGGCUCGUAGGUUGCCAACUAAGUCAGACGUGAAAUCCCCCGGCUUAACCUGGGAACUGCGUCUGAUACUGGGAGGCUUGGGUAUGGGAGAGGGAUGUAGAAUUCCAGGUGUAGCGGUGAAAUGCGUAGAUAUCUGGAGGAAUACCGGUGGCGAAGGCGGCAUCCUGGACCAUUACUGACGCUGAGGCGCGAAAGCUAGGGGAGCAAACGGG
rnacentral:rRNA from 1 species